rnacentral:rRNA from 1 species
UGGUGGAGUGAUUUGUCUGGUUAAUUCCGUUAACGAACGAGACCUCAGCCUGCUAAAUAGUGCGGCGAUCAUUCGUGAUCGUAUGUUACUUCUUAGAGGGACUGUCGGUUUCUAGCCGACGGAAGUUUGAGGCAAUAACA